UACGUAGGGUGCAAGCGUUAAUCGGAAUUACUGGGCGUAAAGCGUGCGCAGGCGGUUAUGCAAGACAGAUGUGAAAUCCCCGGGCUCAACCUGGGAACUGCACUUGUGACUGCAUAGCUAGAGUGCGGCAGAGGGAGAUGGAAUUCCGCGUGUAGCAGUGAAAUGCGUAGAUAUGCGGAGGAACACCGAUGGCGAAGGCAAUCUCCUGGGCCUGCACUGACGCUCAUGCACGAAAGCGUGGGGAGCAAACAGG
rnacentral:rRNA from 1 species